AUGGCUCAAUUGCCCCCGGGCUUCGUCCCCACUGUUUCUCCCCCUCCACCGUGGUGGCCAUUCCAUCCUUCACCACCGCCGCCGCCGUCCAAUGCUAAGCCAUCGUCCACUCAAGGCAGGAUACUCGCCGGCCUCCUCGUCGGCGUCGUGGCGUCCUUGAUCGUGUUCACCGCCGUGUGCACCCUCUGCAGGGAGUACCGCGAUCGUCGCGCCCGAGCCGCGGCCGCCGCUUGGCGGUGGCCCGUGCCGGAACGUAAUGGCGUCCGCGUCGAGGAGCGGCAGCUUGGCCGGGCCUGCGCCGCCAGCCCCACGGCCGGCCUCCCGGCGUUCACGUACAGCCCGUCCGUGAAGCACAACGUGACGGGCGGUGGGGAGGAGGCGGCGACGUGCUCGGUGUGCCUCGGCGUGCUGCAGCUAGGGGAGACGGUGCGGCUGCUGCCGGCGUGCCUGCACCUGUACCACGCGGAGUGCAUCGACCCGUGGCUGGAGGCGCACUCGACGUGCCCGAUCUGCCGCUCCGACACCGGCCCGGCCGCGGGCGCCGGCUGGCUACCGCCUGUUUAG
rnacentral:rRNA from 1 species